AGAGACAGCAGUAGCGCGGGAAUACAGAGGGUGCAAGCGUUAAUCGGAAUUACUGGGCGUAAAGCGCGCGUAGGUGGUUUGUUAAGUUGGAUGUGAAAUCCCCGGGCUCAACCUGGGAACUGCAUCCAAAACUGGCAAGCUAGAGUAUGGUAGAGGGUGGUGGAAUUUCCUGUGUAGCGGUGAAAUGCGUAGAUAUAGGAAGGAACACCAGUGGCGAAGGCGACUACCUGGACUGAUACUGACACUGAGGUGCGAAAGCGUGGGGAGCAAACAGGAUUAGAUACCCCCGUAGUCCCUGUCUCUUAUACA
rnacentral:rRNA from 1 species